CCUACGGGUGGCAGCAGUGAGGAAUAUUGGUCAAUGGGCGGAAGCCUGAACCAGCCAAGUAGCGUGCAGGAUGACGGUCCUACGGGUUGUAAACUGCUUUUAUACGGGAAUAACGCGCCUUACGUGUAGGGCUUUGCAUGUACCGUAUGAAUAAGGACCGGCUAAUUCCGUGCCAGCAGCCGCGGUAAUACGGAGGGUACGGGCGUUAUCCGGAUUUAUUGGGUUUAAAGGGAGCGUAGGCCGCAGGUCAAGUCUGCUGUGAAAUGUCCGGGCUCAACCCGGGCCUUGCAGCGCGAACUGGCGGGCUUGAGUCCGCGGAAGGCAGGCGGAAUUCGUCGUGUAGCGGUGAAAUGCUUAGAUAUGACGAAGAACCCCGAUUGCGAAGGCAGCUUGCUGCAGCGGAACUGACGCUGAGGCUCGAAAGCGCGGGUAGCGAACAGGAUUAGAUACCCGAGUAGUC
rnacentral:rRNA from 1 species